GAUGAACGCUGGCGGCGUGCCUAAUACAUGCAAGUCGAGCGAACAGACGAGGAGCUUGCUCCUCUGACGUUAGCGGCGGACGGGUGAGUAACACGUGGAUAACCUACCUAUAAGACUGGGAUAACUUCGGGAAACCGGAGCUAAUACCGGAUAACAUGUUGAACCGCAUGGUUCAACAGUGAAAGACGGUCUUGCUGUCACUUAUAGAUGGAUCCGCGCCGCAUUAGCUAGUUGGUAAGGUAACGGCUUACCAAGGCAACGAUGCGUAGCCGACCUGAGAGGGUGAUCGGCCACACUGGAACUGAGACACGGUCCAGACUCCUACGGGAGGCAGCAGUAGGGAAUCUUCCGCAAUGGGCGAAAUCCUGACGGAGCAACGCCGCGUCAGUGAAGAAGGUCUCCGGAUCGUAACACUCUGUUAUUAGGGAAGAACAAAUGUGUAAGUAACUCUGCACGCCCUGACGGUACCUAAUCAGAAAGCCACGGCUAACUACGGG
rnacentral:rRNA from 1 species